AGUGAACGCUGGCGGCAGGCCUAACACAUGCAAGUCGAACGAGUGGCGGACGGGUGAGCAAUACAUCGGCACCUGCUUUAUCGAGGGGGAUAACGGCGGGAAACUUUCGCUACUACCGCAUACGAUCCAAUGAGCCGAUGUUGGAUUAGCUAGUUGGCGGGGUAAAGGCACACCAAGGCGACGAUCCGUAGCUGGUCUGAGAGGAUGAUCAGCCACACUGGAACUGAGACACGGUCCAGACUCCUACGGGAGGCAGCAGUGGGGAAUAUUGGACAAUGGGCGCAAGCCUGAUCCAGCCAUGCCGCGUGGGUGAAGAAGGCCUUCGGGUUGUAAAGCCCUUUUGUUGGGGAAGCGUUACCCACAGAAUAAGCACCGGCUAACUCCGUGCCAGCAGCCGCGGUAAUAC
rnacentral:rRNA from 1 species